GCAGCAGGCACGCAAAUUACCCACUCCCGGCACGGGGAGGUAGUGACAAAAAAUAACGAUACGGGACUCUAUUGAGGCCCCGUAAUCGGAAUGAGUACACUUUAAAUCCUUUAACAAGGAUCCAUUGGAGGGCAAGUCUGGUGCCAGCAGCCGCGGUAAUUCCAGCUCCAAUAGCGUAUAUUAAAGUUGUUGCGGUUAAAAAGCUCGUAGUUGGUUCUGCGUGCCACGCUGUCGGUUCGCCGCCUGUCGGUGUAACUGGCAUGUCGUGGCAUGUCCUGUCGGUGGUAAACGAAAUCCCUGGUACGAUGUAGGCUUUUAUAGCUGAAAUCUGUACCGUGUGUGUUUUCGUUUACCGAUCUCUCCUACUCCGGUGCUCUUAAACGAGUGUCGAGGUAGGCCGACACGUUCACUUUGAACAAAUUAGAGUGCUUAAAGCAGGCUAAAAUCUCUGCCUGAAUAGUGGUGCAUGGAAUGAUAAAACAGGACCUCGGUUCUAUUUUGUUGGUUUUAGGAAUAUGAGGUAAUGAUCAAUGUGGACUGGCGGGGGCAUUCGUAUUGCGACGUUAGAGGUGAAAUUCUUGGAUCGUCGCAAGACGCACUAGAGCGAAAGCAUUUGCCAAGUAUGUCUUAAUUGAUCAAGAACGAAAGUUAGAGGUUCGAAGGCGAUCAGAUACCGCCCUAGUUCUAACCAUAAACGAUGCCAGCCAGCGAUCCGCCGAUGUUCCUUUAAUGACUCGGCGGGGAGCUUCUACUCGGGAAACCAAAGCUUUUGGGUUCCGGGGGAAGUAUGGUUGCAAAGCUGAAACUUAAAGGAAUUGACGGAAGGGCACCACCAGGAGUGGAGCCUGCGGCUUAAUUUGACUCAACACGGGAAACCUCA
rnacentral:rRNA from 1 species